rnacentral:lncRNA from 1 species
CUUUUAUUUCCUCCACAAAUCCUGCACUUACUUCUAGUUGAAAACUGUUCGAACUAGUUUUUAACAUUGCUAUGCUCAUUAAUGCCAUUUCGUACCAACUAAUCCAAAUCAAAGAGAGGCAGGACGUAUGACAACUACUUUCAACCACUGUGACGAAGAAACUGACCAUCGCUGUAAUUGAGAAGCCAGUUAUUUAUCAUCUAACAAUGAAGAAGGUGGUUUUUGUACCUAAGAAGUGCUUGAGAGGAGCCUUUCAAGUGGCAGUUGUGACCUGUCAGGAUUAGCUUUUUCAAAUUGGAGUAAAACAUUUUAAUAAUUUUAAUGAUGUAUGCUGCACAAGAAAACAGCACAUUACUUUUUAUAAUGAGCCUUUAGAGCUGUGAUAUUUGGGUAGAGCUAGAGAAACUGUAAAUAUAUUAAACUCAGUGAACUGUUGCUAGAGCAAUGCUGCCUCAUACACUUUUCCUUAAAAUUAAAACCAAAUUUUAUUUUGAGUUGAACACCUAACCAAAAAUACUAAGAUGGAAAAUUAUAUCAAAACAAGCUGUGGCUGGAACGACCGCAAGAAGGCUUGCAUCAUUACCUGUCUCAGUGCCAUGGCUCAUUGUGCUGUGCUUGUAGGAGCAGCAAAAGUGUUAAUGUGUUGCCAUGAAGCGGUGUCGCUGUCUGGACAUACGGGGUGGUGAGCCUGUCAUGCCCUGACACAGGCGAACAGCUAAACUUAAAGUGUGGAGUGAGAGGAAUGCCAAGGUCCAGUAAGCCCCUCGGGGCAAUUAGGAAGGGAAGAGGAGAUUCUACUGGGGAACAAGUGUGUGUUUUCAUGUGUGUGUGAGACAGAAAUAGAGUUGAGAGACUCAGUUGGAAUUCAUGAGCUCGUUUUCAGCCAGAGAAGUAACCAGUGAGCAAAGGAGUUCAUGUGCAGUCAAGAGAACGAGAAGGGAUCAAGCUUGGAGCGUCAAACAGGUUAUGCCCUGUUUUGUGAUUAACCCUGGCAGCCAUACACUACAGCUGGAAGCGCAACACAACAUCCAGCACCGUGAAGCUCCAAGGCUGUAGACAUGACAAGGACAGAGCAGGUACUGUAGGUACUGCAGGGGAAGAAAAACUACAAAUGUCACACCAAAACUACAUGUAGAAAACAUAUUUUGUAUAUAUUUUGUUUGAGAUAGCUGGCAUCGCCAUUGUGAGAUCAACACAGUUCAAUAAGGUAAAAUGUUUGCAAUUGCUAACAUUAAAUACUUAUGCCAAUGUAACAAUGUAACAUUUAUAUGCAAUUUGGCAACCUUGCCAAAGUUGCCAAAAGAUUGUAAAUAAAAGAUCAGCUACUGUGUCAGGGUUUUUUCAAAAAGAGUUUUUAUAUUUAAGUACACAGGGAACUCAUCUUCUUUUGAUAUUUACUUGGGGAUUGAGAAUUCUACUGAUAUUG